rnacentral:rRNA from 1 species
AUUGAACGCUGGCGGCAUGCCUUACACAUGCAAGUCGAACGGCAGCACGGGAGCAAUCCUGGUGGCGAGUGGCGAACGGGUGAGUAAUAUAUCGGAACGUGCCCAGUCGUGGGGGAUAACGCAGCGAAAGCUGUGCUAAUACCGCAUACGAUCUCUGGAUGAAAGCGGGGGACUCGCAAGAGCCUCGCGCGAUUGGAGCGGCCGAUAUCAGAUUAGCUAGUUGGUGGGGUAAAAGCUCACCAAGGCGACGAUCUGUAGCUGGUCUGAGAGGACGACCAGCCACACUGGAACUGAGACACGGUCCAGACUCCUACGGGAGGCAGCAGUGGGGAAUUUUGGACAAUGGGCGCAAGCCUGAUCCAGCAAUGCCGCGUGCAGGAUGAAGGCCUUCGGGUUGUAAACUGCUUUUGUACGGAACGAAACGGUUC